GACGAACGCUGGCGGCGUGCUUAACACAUGCAAGUCGAACGGAAAGGCCCUGCUUUUGUGGGGUUCUCGAGUGGCGAACGGGUGAGUAACACGUGAGUAACCUGCCCUUGACUUUGGGAUAACUUCAGGAAACUGGGGCUAAUACCGGAUAGGAUCUCCUGCUGCAUGGUGGGGGUUGGAAAGUUUCGGCGGUUGGGGAUGGACUCGCGGCUUAUCAGCUUGUUGGUGUGGUAGUGGCUUACCAAGGCUUUGACGGGUAGCCGGCCUGAGAGGGUGACCGGCCACAUUGGGACUGAGAUACGGCGCAGACUCCUACGGGAGGCAGCAGUGGGGAAUAUUGCACAAUGGGCGGAAGCCUGAUGCAGCAACGCCGCGUGCGGGAUGCCGGCCUUCGGGUUGUAAACCGCUUUCGCCUGUGACGAAGCGUGAGUGACGGUAAUGGGUAAAGAAGCACCGGCUAACUACGUG
rnacentral:rRNA from 1 species